rnacentral:rRNA from 1 species
AGCUCCAAGAGCGUAUAUUAAAGUUGUUGCAGUUAAAAAGCUCGUAGUUGGAUUUCUGGUAUAACGGUCCUGGCCCGCGACGGUUACGUCUGUGAGUGCCGGUGAGUGUUUGCCAUCCUUCUAGAAAACGUUUCUACCCUUUGCUGGGCCGGAUUCGCGAUCUAGAUCUUUUACUUUGAAAAAAUUAGAGUGUUUAAAGCAGGCUUUUGCUAUGAAUACAUUAGCAUGGAAUAAUAAUCUAGGACUUCGGUUCUAUUUUGUUGGUUUCUAGUACUGAAGUAAUGAUUGAUAGGGAUAGUUGGGGGUGCUAGUAUUGGCCGGCCAGAGGUGAAAUUCUUGGAUUCGGUCAAGACUAACUUAUGCGAAAGCAUUCACCAAGGAUGUCUUCU